UCUCCACAAUUUCCCUAGGUACUCAAAGUUAUACCACGUAACAAGUUCUUUAAAAUUAAAGGCUUGAGAACCAAUAAUUCCGAUGAUGAAGAUGGAAAGCUUAGUGUCACUGCGAUGGCCAUAAAUAACCAUGAAACAGCGGGGGCAGAUAGAUUUUCCCCCGCUAGCAGCGCAACAGUGUAUGAUUCAUGCCCAGAUAGUGACACAGAUGAACCACCGAUGUUUGCCGACACUUCCAUGUCUAACUGGAAACUCCACGAUGAUAAGGAAAAGAAGGCUGAUGCAGAUAGAAAGUUUGAAUGGAGCUGCAUGGAAGAAAAUAAACAGCAUAGCCCUCGGUCAGUAUUAGAAGAAGUGUCUACUUCAAACAAGCUCCCUACCUGAUAAUCCAAGACCUGUAUCCAGGAAAAGACUCUUCUUGCCUAAGCUGCUAAAGCUGGACACAAUAU